rnacentral:rRNA from 1 species
UACGUAGGUGACAAGCGUUGUCCGGAUUUACUGGGCGUAAAGAGCGCGCAGGCGGUCGAUCAAGUCGAGUGUGAAAGCCCCCGGCUCAACUGGGAGAGGUCAUUGGAUACUGGCGGACUUGAGGGAUGCAGAGGAAGGUGGAAUUCCCGGUGUAGUGGUGAAAUGCGUAGAGAUCGGGAGGAACACCAGUGGCGAAGGCGGCCUUCUGGGCAUUUCCUGACGCUGAGGCGCGAAAGCGUGGGGAGCGAACCGG